GAUGCAAGUCGAGCGAACAGAGAAGGAGCUUGCUCCUUCGACGUUAGCGGCGGACGGGUGAGUAACACGUGGGCAACCUACCUUAUAGUUUGGGAUAACUCCGGGAAACCGGGGCUAAUACCGAAUAAUCUGUUUCACCUCAUGGUGAAACACUGAAAGACGGUUUCGGCUGUCGCUAUAGGAUGGGCCCGCGGCGCAUUAGCUAGUUGGUGAGGUAACGGCUCACCAAGGCGACGAUGCGUAGCCGACCUGAGAGGGUGAUCGGCCACACUGGGACUGAGACACGGCCCAGACUCCUACGGGAGGCAGCAGUAGGGAAUCUUCCACAAUGGGCGAAAGCCUGAUGGAGCAACGCCGCGUGAGUGAAGAAGGAUUUCGGUUCGUAAAACUCUGUUGUAAGGGAAGAACAAGUACAGUAGUAACUGGCUGUACCUUGACGGUACCUUAUUAGAAAGCCACGGCUAACUACGUGCCAGCAGCCGCGGUAAUACGUAGGUGGCAAGCGUUGUCCGGAAUUAUUGGGCGUAAAGCGCGCGCAGGGUGGUUUCUUAAGUCUGAUGUGAAAGCCCACGGCUCAACCGUGGAGGGUCAUUGUAAACUGGGAGACUUUGAGUGCAGAAGAGGAUAGUGGAAUUCCAAGUGUAGCCGGUGAAAUGCGUAGAGAUUUGGAGGAACACCAGUGGCGAAGGCGACUAUC
rnacentral:rRNA from 1 species